rnacentral:rRNA from 1 species
GAUGAACGCUGGCGGCGUGCCUAAUACAUGCAAGUCGAGCGAACGGACGAGAAGCUUGCUUCUCUGAUGUUAGCGGCGGGCGGGUGAGUAACACGUGGAUAACCUACCUAUAAGACUGGGAUAACUUCGGGAAACCGGAGCUAAUACCGGAUAAUAUUUUGAACCGCAUGGUUCAAAAGUGAAAGACGGUCUUGCUGUCACUUAUAGAUGGAUCCGCGCUGCAUUAGCUAGUUGGUAAGGUAACGGCUUACCAAGGCAACGAUGCAUAGCCGACCUGAGAGGGUGAUCGGCCACACUGGAACUGAGACACGGUCCAGACUCCUACGGGAGGCAGCAGUAGGGAAUCUUCCGCAAUGGGCGAAAGCCUGACGGAGCAACGCCGCGUGAGUGAUGAAGGUCUUCGGAUCGUAAAACUCUGUUAUUAGGGAAGAACAUAUGUGUAAGUAACUGUGCACAUCUUGACGGUACCUAAUCAGAAAGCCACGGCUAACUACG